rfam:Veillonella sp. oral taxon 780 str. F0422 ctg1127947897860, whole genome shotgun sequence.
GACCCACUAGCUCAGUUGGCAGAGCACCUGACUUUUAAUCAGGGUGUCCCGCGUUCGAGUCGCGGGUGGGUCA